rnacentral:misc_RNA from 1 species
AAAUCAGAAGCUUGUGCUCCAAGAUGGCUCAAUAUUUAUCAAUGGCAAGACCCCCACCAUCGUGCCAUGGAUGAAAAUCCAUCCGUACUUGUUGUAGGCCGUUGUGGACAAAGUAUGGAUGGACCAGGUUUGCUUUCAUUUGUUGACACUUACACGGGGAGGGAGAUUAGUUCAUCGAGCCAGAUUCACUCGGUUGUGAAAGUUAUCCCACA